GGCUCUGUAGCUCAGUUGGUAGAGCGCACGACUGAAAAUCGUGAGGUCACCAGUUCAAUCCUGGUCGGAGCCA
rnacentral:tRNA from 1 species